GACGAACGCUGGCGGCGUGCUUAACACAUGCAAGUCGAACGGAAAGGCCCUGCUUUUGUGGGGUGCUCGAGUGGCGAACGGGUGAGUAACACGUGAGUAACCUGCCCUUGACUUUGGGAUAACUUCAGGAAACUGGGGCUAAUACCGGAUAGGAGCUCCUGCUGCAUGGUGGGGGUUGGAAAGUUUCGGCGGUUGGGGAUGGACUCGCGGCUUAUCCGCUUGUUGGUGGGGUAGUGGCUUACCAAGGCUUUGACGGGUAGCCGGCCUGAGAGGGUGACCGGCGACAUUGGGACUGAGGUACGGACCAGACUCCUACGGGAGGCAGCAGGGGGGAAUAUUGCACAAUGGGCGGAAGCCUGAUGCAGCAACGCCGCGUGCGGGAUGACGGCCUUCGGGUUGUAAACCGCUUUCGCCUGUGACGAAGCGUGAGUGACGGUAAUGGGUAAAGAAGCACCGGCUAACUACGUG
rnacentral:rRNA from 1 species